rnacentral:rRNA from 1 species
UAAAGAUUCAUCGCUGAUAGAUAGGCAUGCGUUCCAUUAGGCAGUUGGCGGGGUAACGGCCCACCAAACCGACGAUGGAUAGGGGUUCUGAGAGGAAGGUCCCCCACAUUGGUACUGAGACACGGACCAAACUCCUACGGGAGGCAGCAGUGAGGAAUAUUGGUCAAUGGGCGUAAGCCUGAACCAGCCAAGUCGCGUGAGGGAUGAAGGUUCUAUGGAUCGUAAACCUCUUUUAUAAGGGAAUAAAGUGCGGGACGUGUCCCGUUUUGUAUGUACCUUAUGAAUAAGGAUCGGCUAACUCCGUGCCAGCAGCCGCGGUAAUACGGAGGAUCCGAGCGUUAUCCGGAUUUAUUGGGUUUAAAGGGUGCGUAGGCGGCCUUUUAAGUCAGCGGUGAAAGUCUGUGGCUCAACCAUAGAAUUGCCGUUGAAACUGGGAGGCUUGAGUAUGUUUGAGGCAGGCGGAAUGCGUGGCGUAGCGGUGAAAUGCUUAGAUAUCACGCAGAACCCCGAUUGCGAAGGCAGCCUGCCAAGCCAUGACUGACGCUGAUGCACGAAAGCGUGGGGAUCAAACAGGAUUAGAUACCCUGGUAGUCCACGCAGUAAACGAUGAUCACUAGCUGUUUGCGAU